UAACGACUCUCGGCAACGGAUAUCUCGGCUCUCGCAUCGAUGAAGAACGUAGCGAAAUGCGAUACUUGGUGUGAAUUGCAGAAUCCCGUGAACCAUCGAGUCUUUGAACGCAAGUUGCGCCCUAAGCCGUUAGGUUGAGGGCACGUCUGCCUGGGUGUCACG
rnacentral:rRNA from 1 species